rnacentral:rRNA from 1 species
UACGGAGGGUGCAAGCGUUAUCCGGAUUCACUGGGUUUAAAGGGUGCGUAGGUGGGCAGGUAAGUCAGUGGUGAAAUCUCCGAGCUUAACUCGGAAACUGCCAUUGAUACUAUCUGUCUUGAAUACCGUGGAGGUCAGCGGAAUAUGUCAUGUAGCGGUGAAAUGCUUAGAUAUGACAUAGAACACCAAUUGCGAAGGCAGCUGGCUACACGAAUAUUGACACUGAUGCACGAAGGCGUGGGGAUCAAACAGG